rnacentral:sRNA from 1 species
UAACCACAAAGGUGGAAGUGAGGGGAAGGCUGCCCCACACCACCUCGCCCCCACCGCUGGGGAAGGGUUACCAUGACAACCAACCUGGCCAGCAAUCAGAGAGGAUGGGGCUACUGCUGGUCGCCCUUUCUCUCAGAGUAAAAUAAUUGUCCAGGAGAGUGGUGUUUGGGUGUGGAAGGGCACGAGUGGGCGCGCUUCGAAGCCGAGAAAGCCCGCUGGGAGGCCGAGCGCGCCGAGUUACAGGCUCAGGUGGCCUUCCUUCAGGGAGAAAGGAAAGGGCAGGAGAAUCUAAAGACGGACCUGGUGCGGCGGAUCAAGAUGCUAGAGUAUGCGCUGAAGCAGGAAAGGGCCAAAUAUCAUAAACUGAAGUUUGGGACAGACCUGAACCAGGGGGAGAAGAAAGCAGAUGUGUCAGAACAAGUCUCCAAUGGCCCCGUGGAAUCGGUCACCCUGGAGAACAGCCCGUUGGUGUGGAAGGAGGGGCGGCAGCUUCUCCGACAUUUCUGCUCUGUCGCCCAGGCUGCAGUGCAGUGGCACGAUCUCAGCUCACUGCAACCUCUGCCU